rnacentral:rRNA from 1 species
GCUUGUCUCAAAGAUUAAGCCAUGCAUGUCUAAGUAUAAGCACCCUUAUACUGCGAAACUGCGUACAGCUCAUUAUAUCAGCAAUUAUUUAUUUGAAGGUCACCUAUUACAUGGAUAACCGUGGUAAUUCUAGAGCUAAUACAUGCAUUAAACCCCGACUUCUGGAAGGGGUGUAUUUAUUAGAUGGAAACCAAUGCGGGGUAACCCGGAAUAUGGUGAUUCAUAAUAACUUUCGGAUCGAUUUAUCGAUGCAUCAUUCAAGUUUCUGCCCUAUCAGCUUUGGAUGGUAGGGUAUUGGCCUACCAUGGCUUUAACGGGUAACGGAGAAUUAGGGUUCGAUUCCGGAGAGGGAGCCUGAGAAAUGGCUACCACAUCCAAGGAAGGCAGCAGG